UAUGGCGACCGGCGCACGGGUGAGUAACACGUAUCCAACCUGCCGAUGACUCGGGGAUAGCCUUUCGAAAGAAAGAUUAAUACCCGAUGGCAUAGUUCUUCCGCAUGGUAGAACUAUUAAAGAAUUUCGGUCAUCGAUGGGGAUGCGUUCCAUUAGGUUGUUGGCGGGGUAACGGCCCACCAAGCCUUCGAUGGAUAGGGGUUCUGAGAGGAAGGUCCCCCACAUUGGAACUGAGACGCGGUCCAA
rnacentral:rRNA from 1 species